CUGGGCUGGCCUGCUGAAUGAUGACAGAGGAGUGGCCAAGUCACUCAUUGUUGUCCCAUUUGUCAGCCAGCCAGCCACCAGACAUGUGCUAAGAAGAAAAUAAACAGAGAACGUCUUGCAGUGGGCAGCCAUUUCAGGAGGUAAAUGCCGGGGGGUGGUGUUUGAACAGUGACGGAAGGACAUGAAGAAGCGAGCGUGUGAAGGUGUGGAAGAAGUACAAUCCAUGCAGAAGAACCAGCAAGCCUUCUUUCCAUCUGGCAGUAUUAUGCAAGAUUCGGAACGAAUCUCCUCCUCCUCUCUUGCCUCUUCUCUUUUCUUUUAAAAAACCAAUUGAGAUUAUUAAAACCAAGAGGCCCCUA